GCCCCCAUCGUCUAGUGGCCUAGGAUACUAGGUUCUCAGCCUAGGGACCGGGGUUCGAGUCCCCGUGGGGGUA
rfam:Singulisphaera acidiphila DSM 18658, complete genome.